rnacentral:lncRNA from 1 species
UAUAGGCAAAGGGACAGAGACCCAGGAUGGGCACAUAUAUGUUCCUGCCAAAAGGGACAGAGACCCAGAAAGUCACCCCUAGAGACACACAGACAUGUUCCUUCCCUACACGGCACACCUCUCUCCCUCUUUGUCUGAGAAGCCACCCCUACCUGUGUGUGUGUGUGUGUGUGUGUGUGUGUGUGUCUGUCUGUCUGUCUGUCUGUCUGUCUGUCUGUCUGAGGACACUUCCAGAAAGACCAAUCUAGAAAUCCCCAAGGAUUGCACAGAGACCAUAUUCCUUCCUUGCCUGUCUUUUGCUAGGAGUCCCCAGCCUUGGGCUUCCAGCAUGCUAGGAAAAGGGAAAUCCUAUUUACACCAGGCCCUCUCACAUCCCCCUCAGUCAACACUCCGUUUUCAGGUGAAAAUCAAUUUAGGUGUGUGUUUAUCACCCCCUCUCUAACACAGGCCCACACCCAGCAAGAUUGGAGAUUUUUUUUUCCAGCAAACCAAAGGGAGGGAACCGCGGCCGGCGCCGCACCGAGCUGUGAGAGAAAGCGGAAGGAGAAACGGAGCAGCUGGUCAGACAGUCAUGGCUCUGAUAAUUAAAGCCUCAAAACGGGAAAUGGACUGACUACCCUGAAGAGAAUCAAGCUUCCAAGUCAGGGAGUGUUCACUCUGGUACAUACAGCACCAGAAGAUGCAUAGUUGAUGGGAAGGACUGUGUCAUCGGCCCCAAGAAGCCGGAAGACCCAGGGUCAAGUGAGAUGGCGAAGCUUCCUUCUUCACACCGCUGCCACCUGAAGCCCACCGGGUCUACAAUGAAAACUUCCAAGUUUCAUUUGGCCCUUUCCUACCUUCUCUGGUCCCUCGG